ACCAAAUGAGGCCAUUUCGCUCAUUUAUAUACCUACAUAGAAUUAAGUCAUGAGUAAGUAGAAAGUCUACUUCAAGAUUUCUGUUUAGCCCUACACGUACAGGUGAAAACGUCUUUGCAUUUAUGGUUUUGUCUUCCAGUUCUUAUCCGGAGAGGUUGGGUGUUUUGUUUACUUACCACCACAUAUGUUGCAACUUUGUUUCUACUUGCAUUCUGACAGUGUCAUUUGUUUCUGCAGUGCUGGGCAUGUGUGCCUUAUGCGUGCUAAGCAAGUGCUAUACCACUGGGCCCUAUCCAGACCCUGCUCCCUUUUUUGAUCUAGGUACUCAAACUGCAACCCUGUCUGAGACUCCCAGGUAGCUAGGAUUAGUGGUCUAAUUUUAUCUAGACUGAGCUCCUAAGGAAGAAGUUCUCAACCUCCCUUUGAUAUACAGUUCCUCAUGUUGUGGUGACUCCAACCGUAAAAUUAUUUCAUUGUUACUUCAUAACUAAUGCUACUGUAAUGAAUCAUAAUUUAAGUAUUUCUGGAGACAGAGGUUUGCCAAAGGGGUUGAGAGCCCCAUGCUGAG
rnacentral:lncRNA from 1 species